AGACCCUGUCUUAAACAAAAACAAAAACAAAAUCAUAAACUUUUGCUCAGAACUUGCAUUUCUCUAACUUUGCAAGCACAAAUUUUUAUACCUGUUGACCACCUUCAUGGAGUUACUUUGAAAAUAGUAAUUACUAAAGCCCACUUCACUGAAAAUUUGAGAGUUAAUUUUUUAAAUUUUCUGAAUUUUGGGGUCACUGGCACUGGAAAAAAAAUUACUCUCUCUGUUCUCUUUCUUGUAAAAAAUUCAGUGCUCACCCACACAAAUCCAGGCAGCUGCCUCAUCUAUUCUGCUUCAUCUAUUCUCCUGCUGAGGACAUUCUAUAUUCUUAUAUCCCUAUUGAACAAUAGCACCAUCCUGAAAAAUUUGCGUACUGGCAAUCAAAUCAUUCUGCAAACAGUAACGCAGAUUCCAAUGAUAAGAUGAGUGAGCAGGAUGCAAGAACAUCUUAAAGAUCACCUGCCGCACUUGUGUUUGAGGUGCUCAAUGGCUGUUUACACCAAGUGCCAUCUGGCUCUAUAGAUAUAAUAACAAUUAUUCCAUCGAGGUGUGUAGCUCCCUAAAUCAUAUUAAUAUACAGUGAUUCCACUAGUCUUAUAGGAGUUGAUGUCUUUGUGUGCUCUCAUUUAACCUGGGUAAUGCGCUAAAACAAGUCUGCCUCAUCAUUAAGAAUUGAUUUUUUAUUUAUGUGAAUGUCACUGGCAAUCCCAUGAUAUCCCUUUGUAAUUCAGUCGAACAGGGCUGCAUACUAGCGUUAAUCUAUUUUUAUGGCAUAUCUUUAAAAAUUUGCAACAUCUUGCUACAUUUGGAUAUUUAUAUAGAGAUUUGUGUUCCCGCAGAAAGCUGUUGUUAGCUUUGGAGAUCCAUUUCAUACAGCAAUAGGGCAAGUAUCUAAUAUACUUCAUUAGCUAUCUUAUAUCAGAUAAGGGUUUAUUUCUUUAAAUUAUUUAACCUUGGUAUAACCUACUAAAAUCAUAUAAAUUACAAAUACACUAAUGAAAAUCAUUAGUUAGCCUAUUCAAAAAAAAAAAAAAAAAAAAAGAAAAAGAAAAGAAAAGAAAAAAGAAAACCUCCAACAGUGAUAAAACUAAAACAUUUUAAAAUCAGCCCUCUGGAAGCAUUUUAUGAAAACAACUUCAUGAAUUUGCCAUGAUUGCUCAUUUCUUAAUGUUGUCAUUGGUCAAUCAUUUAGCCACUGACGUUAACAACUAUUCUGAUAUGCUAACAUUUGUAAAACAAACAAACAAACAAAAACCAAAAAACACAUCACUUUUUCUCUGGCUAAUUCAAAAUCUGAUUUUAAAAGUCAUAGUUAAAAUUAUUUAUAAACAUGCCUUAAUGACUUUUGCUAAUUUAAAAUGAGAUAAACACAAUAAGCAACAAUAAAAACAAAAAAUACAUAUUUUAAGAUACCAGGAAAAAACACUACAUCACAAAAUUAUACUUUAAAUCUAGUCUUCUCAAGAGUAUUUACAGGAUCAUUAAAUAAUUACCUUAUAGGGAAGUUCUGUCAGAACACCUCUCUUAUUUAGAUGAGUAUUAUAGACUUUGAACCUGUUUUUAAAGCAAUAGCAAGCUUCUUCAGAAAGUCACUGAAUUUUGGGUGUGGGGAGAUAUGGUAUGUUAUACUGCAGGUCUUGACCAUUUUAUGCUGCUGCUUUAAACGCAGAAUUACUCUUAUGCUGUUGAAUUUAUCAUACACAGUUACUGAUACUGCAACUCAUAAGGAAGUUAAGCAAAGUUUCAGGACAUGCAAAUAAAUGAGGUAACACUUCUUCAAAUCUAAAGGAUUUUUAAGGGGAGUGUCACUGCAAACUAUAAACUACUGUAAGAUUCUUGGUCUACAACAAUCUCUUGUGGAUUAUUUAGACAAUUUUUAAAAAAGCACACUGGGGCAAGUUUAUUUUUCUAACUUGAAAAUACAUGUCCUAAAACUUAAUUAAAGGCUCAAACUUAAGAAAGACACAUUCAUAAAAAUCUACAUUUGUAUUAGAUUGUGAAAUCAAUGCAGUUUUCAAUAUAAUACAUUAAUAUCUGUAAUCCUUAAGCUGUAAUUUUUACUAAUAUGUUUUCCAAGAGCUGCGUAAAUUAACUUCUUUAUGUAUUGUGUAUGUUAUAAAUAACUAGAAGGAAUUACGUGCUUUUAUAUUCAAUAAAUAAAUACAUUUAAAACUCAGAUACUUUCACUAAAAUAGAUCCACAAAGAAGCUUGGAAUGUUUUUCUGUGGUCUUCAGAACUAUAUGUGGUGAGCAAUUAUCAGGAAUAAUACAUGUGUCUGUUUUUGAAUUCAGUAAGCCUUCUAAACAUUAUUUGAAAACUACUCCAUGGAGAUGAUAAAAGGUGUAUUAAUCACCUAAAUGCCUAUAAAUUGAGAUUUAAGGUCAGAGAUAUUCCCUUAGUUUACUUAAGAUAUUCCUUGGAUAUCCCUUAGAUAUUUCCCUAGUUGUCCCACACGGGCUUGCUUGGUCACACAUCAUAUCCUGGUACAUACGAGAUCCUGAGUUAGUAUUGGGGAAUUGGUGUACAAGGCUUACAAGUCAGCUUUUAAAACAUAAUAAUGAUAGCAUCUAUGAUACUAGUCUAGUGAUUCUAUGGUUUUCUUUUUGUUAAAAUCAUCCAUUACUUUAGAAAUAAGCUAAGUAAAGAGGGAACAUGGAGUCAGACUGAAAUCUACUUCAAGGCUCACCUCUGUGGGAUGAACAGUGAAUGCUCUGACAAUGACAUUCACAACAGCACUGCUGCUGGGUAUUGCUAUAAUUUGCUCUCUAUGAUUGUUCCUUUAAACAAAAAGCUCUGCGCUCAGCAUGCAAAGAAGUUAGAAGUGCGGGAAGGAGGGGGAACCACACAUGUAAGAGGAGAGAGAGGAAAAAACUGCAGAUCAAUCAUUUAUAAUUAACAAAAAUCCGAUUGGUGCUUUAAAUAGAGAUCAAUGUGUUCCAGGCUGCCUGGAUUGUGGGGAUGUAUUCACCUUCUGGUAACUCUCCAAGCAAGCUGUCACACCUACAGAAUCACCAUUUGUUUUCUUAACAAAGCUUCAGGGGGCGCCAGGCUCUCAUUGAAAUUUCAUUAAUCUAAUGGAGUAAAGUCCUAUAGAAAAAAAUCAAAUUCUCGUUGGACGAGAUGCUACCUGGGAAAGAUAACCUCUGUUUGAACUCUCAGACUCGGAUCUCUCUGCUAUUAGUCUGAGGAAACAGACAGCAACAACGCUGAUUACAGCCACCGGCCUCAACAAUUUUUUUUUCUAACUAGCAAUUUCGAGUGCAAGUGCCACAGUGUCAGCUAAAGAAACACAACUGCGGGUUUUCUGCAGAGCAAAAUGGCUCUGAAAUGUCACUGAAUAGCUCACAAAGGACGCCAAUCUACGACAACAGAGGCAUAAGCAUAUAGGAGAAAGGGCCCACACGUCCUCCUUUCAAAGUGUGGAGAAAGGAGAGAGAAAGGGAGAGAAGAGUCAUGGACCCUACUUUAUGGUUGCCAUGGAUGCAAGGUCAGCCUUCCACACUUGGAUCUACCAGCAGAGUUCAGACAGGUCAACGUGUGACCGGCUCAGGCCCUGGGGUUAAAAGUUCAAGCAGCGAUGGAAAAACCAAUAUGUCCACGCAGAGUAUGCUGUACAAUUUAUUUCAAUUUACAUCAAGCCAUGCAUAUAAAAUUUAGAUAAAUUCCAUUCAGAUCUGAUGUUGCCUGACACACAAUGUAUGCAAACAGAUGUCUGUGGGGCUUUUUCUGUGCUUUAGAAAACAACAUUAAAUUUAAAAAUAUGUCUCUGGGAUUUCUUUAUUGAAUUACAAAAUGAACAUAAUUUUAACUUAAAUGUUUUCUUUCUUCCUUUUUUUGGUGUGGGGGUCUUAAUAAUUUCUCAGUUCUCAAUCUACUCUAUGUCAUAUUAAAGAGGAUAAUGUAUAUUUACAA